GGCCUGGUGGUCAAGCGGCUAAGACACCGCCCUUUCACGGCGGUAACACGAGUUCGAUUCUCGUCCAGGUCA
rnacentral:tRNA from 1 species